rnacentral:rRNA from 1 species
AUUGAACGCUGGCGGCAGGCCUAACACAUGCAAGUCGAGCGGCAGCGGAGAGUAUCUUGCUACUUUGCCGGCGAGCGGCGGAAGGGUGAGUAAUGUCUGGGAAACUGCCUGAUGGAAGGGGAUAACUACUGGAAACGGUAGCUAAUACCGCAUGACCUCGAAAGAGCUAAGUGGGGGAUCUUCGGACCUCACGCCGUCAGAUGUGCCCGUAUGGGAUUAUCUUUUGAGUGAGGUAAUGGCUCCCCUGCGCUACUAUCCCUCCCUGGUCUGAGAGGAUGACCAGCCACACUGGAACUGACACACGGUCCAGACUCCUAGGGACGCAGCAGUGGGGAAUAUUGCACAAUGGGCGCAAGCCUGACCAGCCUUGCCUGUGCUGUGAAGAAUUUUUCGGGUUGUAAGUGCUUUUCAUUGAAGAGGAAGGCAUCACACUUCCAACGUGUGGUGAUUGACGUUACUCCCUGAAGAAGCCCCGGGUAAUUCCUUGGUCACAAGCGUUAUCCUGAUUUAGUGGCAAGCAUUCAUCUCAAUUACUGGAUGUAAAGCGCAUGUGAGAAUGCUGAUAUCACCUAUGUGUAAUCCCCGCAACUGAAUUGCUAACUGCCUGUGAAGCUGACCAGCUCUACUCUUGUAGAGGUGGGUAUAAUUCCUGGUUUUUACGGUUGAAUGUGGGAAGUCUGGCAUGCUGGACGGAUGCGGACGCUGACCCCUUGGAAGCGUACGGACGCUAGGGGAUUAAAUCUCGGGAACAACAAGGAUGAGAUCCCCAGUGGAUUCAAGGUGAAUUCCACAGUGGAUCUCCACGGUCGCUAACAACCAGCUUUUAAAUAAAAAUAAAAAAAAAAUAUUAG